rnacentral:rRNA from 1 species
CACGUAGGGGGCGAGCGUUGUCCGGAAUCAUUGGGCGUAAAGAGCUCGUAGGCGGCUCAGUAAGUCGGGUGUGAAACCCCCAGGCUCAACCUGGGGACGCCACCCGAUACUGCUGUGGCUAGAGUCCAGUAGGGGAGUGUGGAAUUCCCGGUGUAGCGGUGAAAUGCGCAGAUAUCUGGAGGAACACCGAUGGCGAAGGCAGGUCUCUGGGCCAUAACUGACGCUGAGAAGCGAAAGCAUGGGGAGCGAACAGG